rnacentral:rRNA from 1 species
UACGUAGGGUGCAAGCGUUGUCCGGAAUUAUUGGGCGUAAAGAGCUCGUAGGCGGUUUGUCGCGUCUGCUGUGAAAUCCCAGGGCUUAACCCUGGGCCUGCAGUGGGUACGGGCAAACUAGAGUGCGGUAGGGGAGAUCGGAAUUCCUGGUGUAGCGGUGAAAUGCGCAGAUAUCAGGAGGAACACCGGUGGCGAAGGCGGAUCUCUGGGCAGUAACUGACGCUGAGGAGCGAAAGCGUGGGGAGCGAACAGG